CUGACACAGGUGCUGCAUGGCUGUCGUCAGCUCGUGUCGUGAGAUGUUGGGUUAAGUCCGUAACGAGCGCAACCCUUGUCCUUAGUUACCAGCACGUUAUGGUGGGCACUCUAAGGAGACUGCCGGUGACAAACCGGAGGAAGGUGGGGAUAACGUCAAGUCAUCAUGGCCCUUACGGCCUGGGCUACACACGUGCUACAAUGGUCGGUACAAAGGGUUGCCAAGCCGCGAGGUGGAGCUAAUCCCAUAAAACCGAUCGUAGUCCGGAUCGCAGUCUGCAACUCGACUGCGUGAAGUCGGAAUCGCUAGUAAUCGUGAAUCAGAAUGUCACGGUGAAUACGUUCCCGGGCCUU
rnacentral:rRNA from 1 species